UAUAAGGCUGACACACGGAGCACAACAAUGCAGAUUUCCCUUUUAGACGCAUACUACAUGACAAACCAAGUAAUUUGACACUAAUAAUUGGGUUGACCAGCCCAUUGGACUUACAAUCUAAAGAAUUAAAGAAAACAAUAUGGACUUAAUUAUAAAGAUAAAAACCCAACUCAACAACCUGUGACACAAACCCGGCCCAGUGGCCCAAUUCCCUUCUCAUAAGACAUAAUCCUAACAUAUCAUCUCUCCCUGAACUUGAAGUGUGACACGCUUCGGUACAAUUCGAGGAAAACCCAUCUCAGAAAUCAAUUUUCAAAUCUGGAUCUUUGGAUGAUCACCUUUAACUAGGGUUUCAUGACUUCAUCAGCUAAUAAGUUGAUUAGGGAGUAUGUUGAGGAUGGGUUAUAUGGAAGUGCAAUAAAGCUUUGUCUUGGAAUGAUUGAACGUUGUUCCCCAGCUGAUGAAUUCAGUAUCUUUGCCUACUUAAUUAAGGCAGACGUUGGGAUUUCUAAGUUAGACAAGUUCAAACAAAUUCAUAGUCUCAGCAAUUUCUCCAACAUGCAUUAUAAUAACUGUGGAAGGAGCUUCCAACCCUUGUCUAAACAGAAAUGAGAUAAUGAGGAGAGUACUCUGUCGAAAUUGGUUGCUGUUUAGUGAUGGCUGUGUUUUCAAGCACCUGCGAUCACCUCUGUGUACUGUGGGUUGGUUCAUGAUGUUUUCUCAACUGAGAAUGUUGGGGCAUUACACAAGAUUUACACGCACUCUCUCACAUGAACAUGCAUGUAAUAUUUUUUAUGCCCUUUUGUUUUAAUAUUUUGAAUGCUUUAUGAUGACCUCUCUGAUCCUAACAGUCGACCGGCCAUAUGCCCUCGUAUACAUGUAUGUGGUAUUUGGACACUCAGACAACUGUUACUGCAAUUGUGGUGGGCAGCAAGAGUGUCUGCAUUGCUGCUGCAGACAGAGCAAAAUCAAGUUUAAGACAUUUGAGCUACUCUCUGGGACCCUGCUGCAUUCUUAAAGAACUAGGUUGUUUCCUUUUCACUUCCAGUUGUGGUUUUUGAGCCAACAAUACAAGCUAUGCAUUUGGUGACA